rnacentral:rRNA from 1 species
UUAUAUAAGUUAUCGUUUAUUUGAUAGUACCUUACUACUUGGAUAACCGUGGUAAUUCUAGAGCUAAUACAUGCUAAAAAUCCCGACUUCGGAAGGGAUGUAUUUAUUAGAUUAAAAACCAAUGCCCUCUGGGCUCUCUGGUGAUUCAUAAUAACUUCUCGAAUCGCAUGGCCUUGCGCCGGCGAUGGUUCAUUCAAAUUUCUUCCCUAUCAACUUUCGAUGUUUGGGUAGUGGCCAAACAUGGUUGCAACGGGUAACGGAGGGUUAGGGCUCGACCCCGGAGAAGGAGCCUGAGAAACGGCUACUACAUCCAAGGAAGGCAGCAGGCGCGCAAAUUACCCAAUCCCGAUUCGGGGAGGUAGUGACAAUAAAUACUGAUACAGGGCUCUUUUGGGUCUUGUAAUUGGAAUGAGUACAAUUUAAAUCCCUUAACGAGGAACAAUUGGAGGGCAAGUCUGGUGCCAGCAGCCGCGGUAAUUCCAGCUCCAAUAGCGUAUAUUAAAGUUGUUGUGGUUAAAAAGCUCGUAGUUGAACCUUGGGCCUGGCUGGCCGGUCCGCCUCACCGCGUGUACUGGUCCGGCCGGGCCUUUCCCUCUGUGGAACCCCAUGCCCUUCACUGGGUGUGGCGGGGAAACAGGACUUUUACUUUGAAAAAAUUAGAGUGCUCCAGGCAGGCCUAUGCUCGAAUACAUUAGCAUGGAAUAAUGAAAUAGGACGUGCGGUUCUAUUUUGUUGGUUUCUAGGACCGCCGUAAUGAUUAAUAGGGACAGUCGGGGGCAUCAGUAUUCAAUUGUCAGAGGUGAAAUUCUU